rnacentral:rRNA from 1 species
GUGAACGCUGGCGGUAGGCCUAACACAUGCAAGUCGCACGGCAGCACAGUAAGAGCUUGCUCUUACGGGUGGCGAGUGGCGGACGGGUGAGGAAUACAUCGGAAUCUACUUUUUCGUGGGGGAUAACGUAGGGAAACUUACGCUAAUACCGCAUACGACCUACGGGUGAAAGCAGGGGAUCUUCGGACCUUGCGCGAUUGAAUGGGCCGAUGUCGGAUUAGCUAGUUGGCGGGGUAAAGGCCCACCAAGGCGACGAUCCGUAGCUGGUCUGAGAGGAUGAUCAGCCACACUGGAACUGAGACACGGUCCAGACUCCUACGGGAGGCAGCAGUGGGGAAUAUUGGACAAUGGGCGCAAGCCUGAUCCAGCCAUACCGCGUGGGUGAAGAAGGCCUUCGGGUUGUAAAGCCCUUUUGUUGGGAAAGAAAAGCAGCAGGUUAAUACCCCGCUGUUCUGACGGUACCCAAAGAAUAAGCACCGGCUAACUUCGUG